CAGUAGCCGCGGUAAUACGAAGGGUGCAAGCGUUAAUCGGAAUUACUGGGCGUAAAGCGUGCGUAGGCGGUGAGUUAAGUCUGCUGUGAAAUCCCCGGGCUCAACCUGGGAAUGGCAGUGGAUACUGGCUCGCUAGAGUGUGUCAGAGGAUGGUGGGAUUCCCGGUGUAGCGGUGAAAUGCGUAGAGAUCGGGAGGAACAUCAGUGGCGAAGGCGGCCAUCUGGGACAACACUGACGCUGAGGCACGAAAGCGUGGGGAGCAAACAGGAUUAGAUACCCCCGUAGUCCCUGUCUCUUAUAC
rnacentral:rRNA from 1 species